UGUCCAGGGCGGGAAUCGAACCCACAACCUUCUGCUUACCGGGCAGGUGCCAUGUCCACUAGGCUACCCUGGAC
rnacentral:tRNA from 1 species